UGACCUUUGAUAGUGACGGUUGUGUGCUUAACGGGUCGCGUUGUUUUAAAAUCUUUUCGAAUGAAGGCUCGUUGUUUUUGAGAAGCGUUUCGCGCAUCGCAUCACUUUCCAGGCAAGAUGUCAAGACUGAUGAUGCACAGAUGUUUUAUGUGCGAAACGUUUCAUAAUAAACUUCAUCAUUUUACAACUGGUAUCAUGGACACCCUCUGAAGAUUCGUAUAUAAUUUGUCCACUGAACGACUACAUAUCUCCUGAGAUGAUACUGAAACUUUUCUUCGUCCUCCUGUUCGCUUUCCGUCUUCGACUACAGGGAACUCACCACUUUGCGCAACUACUCAAGCACCGUUAUCCGCCCAUUACCAUCGCUACCUCAAGAAAACUGGAAAAGACGACUCUUCGACUCGAAAAGGCCAAGGCAGAUCUUGAUUUUCUCCAAUACUGCCAACUGAAUGAUGUCACUCAGAGAUUCGUCCGCUUCAGAUUGUAUAAAUCUGCUCUGUAUAACACUGAGUUCUACAAGGAUACACUUAGAACCCUGCUUAAGAACGAAAUUGAAUGUAAAAUCCGCUCUAUUAACCUGUUAACUGUUACCACAGAACAACUUAAGAAUGUUUUGUUUAAUGAUUUAUCCAUGGUUGAUCGUCUGCUUUAUCAGAGAUUGUUUUGUAGAUUUAUUAAUAACUAUAUCUCUGAGGUAUUUUCUAGACACCAGAAAAAACUGUUGAAUCUCGGUGUUGUUAUUCCCGAUUUCCAUUCUAGAAAUAAAUGAAUUUUUAACUUUUCCAGUUAUGUUUUAUCGAAGAGAGAAGAAUUCUUAUUAACUUUUGGGUUAGACUUUUGCUUACCCUUAUAUAGACCUAACUAUGCCAGGUUUUUCUUACCUCUUGAAACUAUGUUCAAAGAUUGAUAAAAUUUGAAUUUAACCAAGAUAUCGGUAAGCUCCAACAGAAAUAUCUAAUUUGGCUCACAAAACGUACUUGAAUUUAAGAACUAGUUGGACACCAUUUUUUAGAUCGUCAGAUCUGAAAAUACUAUUGAAGUUAAAGGAACAAGAAAACAUAAUUUUUUGUAAACCAGAUAAGGGCAAGGGGGUAGUUAUUAUGAAUAAGACUGAUUACAUACAAAAAAUGGAAACUAUUUUCUCCGACAAUUCCAAGUUUGUU